rnacentral:lncRNA from 1 species
GGUGUUGAUCGGGCACUCCUCUGUGUAGAGAACCAUCCUGCAGUAAGAACAGAGUGAGGUCGGCAUGCUGCGAGCAGCAGAGGUUGUCACCACCCCUGGAGCAGCGCGUCCCUGUUGCCCGCAUCCUCUCCAGCAUUUGGCGGCGUCUGUGCUCUGGACUGCAGCCCUUCUAGAAGGUCUCCGGUUUCUACCUCGGGACUCAGAGAACUCUCCGGAACAUGUUCCCGACCCUCGACCCUCGACCCUCAACCCUGGGGGAUUGCUCCAGACGACCCUCUGCUGGACCUGACGCCCGCCGCCCGCCGGCUGUCCUUACAAGCACGGUCAAGAAUACGCCGUCCUUUCACGUGGCCUUUAGCCCUGCUCAGGGAAAGGCUUGGGCACUAAGAACCUGCACUUCGUUCCGACACAGCACACUUCUCUACGAGGAGGGGAGAAGAGGGUUCACAUUACCAUCAGCUGCAGCAAAACUGGAACAGGAUUAAGACGGCGGAACAGAAAGACUGGAGCUCAACUGCUCUCCCCAAAACAACAGAAUUUACAACCAAAUGCUGCCCAAUCUUCAACCAAAUGGACCAGAAGCUUUCAAAAAGACAUCCUACUCCAGAAGACACAGAGGAGACCACAUCAAGAGGUAGGAGGGGCAAUUACGUGAUAUGAGCAACCCCAUACCUCCGUAGUGGGAAGCCCCACAGACUGGAAAGUAACUGGUUCAGAGACUCACCUACAGGAGUGAGAGUUCUGAGCCCCACAUCAAACUCUCACAUGUGGGGAUUCGGCACUGGGAGAAAGAGCCCCUGGAGCACUGGGCAUUGAAGGCCAGUGGGGCUUAUGUGCAGGAGCUCCGUGGGACUGGGGGAAAUAGAGACCCCACUCUUAAAAGGCACACACAGAAUUUCAUGUGCACUGGGUCCCAGGGCAAAGCAAAGUCUCCAUAGGAAUCUGGGUCAAACCUGACUGCAGUUCUUGGAGGACCUCCUGGGAAAAAAGGGGUGAAGGUGGCUUAUUGUGAGGGAGGGACAUUGGAAGCAAAGCUCUCGGGAAUUGACAGCAGCAUGCCUUUCUCUGGAGGUGGCCUGUUUUUUGGGAAAAUCUGGCCCCACCCAUUGGUGCUGAGAAGCCCUAGGGCAAACAACAGUCCAGGUGGGAUCACAGCCCUGCCCAUCAGUAAACAGACUGCCUAAAGACCCCCCCACACACACACACCGUCACCUCUAAUCUCACCCAGAGACAAAGCCCCACCCACCAGAGAGAUAGGAAUCAGCCCCAUCUACCAAUGGGUAGGCACCAGUCCCUCCCAUCUGGAAGCCUACAGCAAGCUCCCAUACCAACUUCAGCCACAAGGGGGGCAGACACCAGAAGAAAGAGAUAGUAUAACUCUAUUGUCUGCAAAAAGGAGAACACACCAAAAACCUAUAAAAAUGAAAAGGCCACGAGCUAUAACUCAGGUAAGGGAGAAAGGAAAAAAACCAGAAAAACAGCUAGGUGAUCUGGAGAUUCUCAGCCUCAAGGAAAAAGACUUUAUAGACUGUUGAUGCUGAAGAUGAUGUAAGACACUGGAAAUAAACUGGAGGCAAAGACGGGUAACUUACAGGAAACCCUGAGCAAAGAGAUACAAGAUACAAAACUUAAGUAAGAAGAGAUGCAAAAUACAACAACUGAAAUAAAAAAUUCAUUAGAAGCAGCCAACAGCAGAAUACAGGAGGCAGAAGAAUGAAUGAGCGAGGAGGAUGGCAGAUUAGUGGAAAUUACAGAUGCAGAACA